rnacentral:rRNA from 1 species
GUGGGGAAUAUUGGGCAAUGGGCGCAAGCCUGACCCAGCAACGCCGCGUGAGGGAAGAAGGUUUUCGGAUUGUAAACCUCUGUCGCAAGGGACGAAGAAGUGACGGUACCUUGUGAGGAAGCCCCGGCUAACUACGUGCCAGCAGCCGCGGUAAUACGUAGGGGGCGAGCGUUGUCCGGAAUUACUGGGCGUAAAGGGUGCGUAGGCGGUUGCUUAAGUUGGAUGUGAAAUACCCGGGCUUAACUUGGGGGGUGCAUUCAAAACUGGGCAACUAGAGUUCAGGAGAGGGAAGCGGAAUUCCUAGUGUAGCGGUGAAGUGCGUAGAUAUUAGGAGGAACACCAGUGGCGAAGGCGGCUUUCUGGACUGUAACUGACGCUGAGGCACGAAAGCGUGGGGAGCAAACAGGAUUAGAAACCCCGGUAGUCC